CUCUGAAGACCCAGGAGAGGCAGCAGCCAUGAAGAUCCUGUUCCUGCUCUUCUCCCUGCUCCUCCUGUUGGUCCGGGGUGCUGCAGGGAGUACAAUUCAAUGCAAUCAGAGAGGAGGAUUUUGUUCUUCUGUAAGAUGUCACCCCCCCCUAAGAACUAUUGGAAGAUGUUCAGACAUGUCCGUGUGCUGCAAAAGUGACUGGAUUUGAAACCCUGAAAUUCCCAAGCAGGACAUGACCCUCGCUUCUGGCUGAUGACCCCACCUGCUGAUGUCCCCAUGUGCUGAUGUCCCCAUGUGCUGAUGUCCCCUGGCCUCGGUGGCUGUGCCGUGC